rnacentral:rRNA from 1 species
UACGGGGGGGGCUAGCGUUUUUCGGAAUUACUGGGCGUAAAGCGCACGCAGGCGGACUUGAAAUUCAGAGGUGAAAUCCCAGGGCUCAACCUUGGAACUGCCUUUGAAACUUCUGGUCUUGAGGUCGAGAGAGGUGAGUGGAAUUCCGAGUGUAGAGGUGAAAUUCGUAGAUAUUCGGAGGAACACCAGUGGCGAAGGCGGCUCACUGGCUCGAUACUGACGCUGAGGUGCGAAAGCGCGGGGAGCAAACAGG